rnacentral:tRNA from 1 species
UCCCGCGUGGUCUAGCGGUUAGGAUUCCUGGCUUUCACCCAGGCGGCCCGGGUUCAACUCCCGGCGCGGGAG